rnacentral:lncRNA from 1 species
UUUUUUUUCUUUCUUAAAAAAAAAAAAAAAAGUUCAAGGCCUAAGAUCUCACACAGCAUCUGCUGUCCAGUCUGUUUUCCCGUUUGGACUGACCAGGGAACACGGAGCCAGGAGCAGCCGCUCAUGAAGCCUCCUGCUGCCAGCACUCUUGCCGGCCACUCCUCCCCGGGCACCACAGCCUGCCUCGGGGGGCCUGGUCUCACCUCCCUGGCUCUGGCGUAGGCCUGCUGGGCUCUGGGGUCCAGGUGUCGACUCCAUGAUGGGGGAAGGCAAAAACAGAAUAUAGAGGCACUAUCUGAAUUUUCUCCUUGCCCAGGGAGGUUUCUCUAAUGCCCGUAUCCUAACAUCCCUACCGGUGUGUUGUGACAGAUCUUGGGAAAGGGGGAGGGAUCCUGCCAUCAGGAUCCUGUCACCACUAGCCCAAGCAGAGUCCCACUCCAGGCUCUAGAUGACAAACAGUCCCUGGGGCUCCACUGUGACCUCACUAAAUGGCUUGGGGAAGCUUGUCACUCUGAAGAGUCUGUCUGGGUUUGCUAUGAGUUGUCUGUUGUCUGAGGUCGGGGCAGGAAGGGGAUUUGCCUUCAAACUCACUGCCCUAACAUGUGACUCUGGUCCUAAGGAGAAGAGGACCAAAAGGAGUGUACUAGAGAGAUGGCUGACCAGAGACAAAUGAGACAGUAAGAAAGACAGAGGCAGGCCAGAACAUCAGCUCUGGCCCCACGGCCCUUGGGAAUCAGGGGCCAGGGGAGAAGAGGUGAAGAAAGAGAACCGUCCCUAAAGGCCCAGGAGAAACUCAGGGUACUGGAGUGCUGCAUUUGAUAAAGCAACGCAGGUGCUGUCCAAAUGGUGAGGAAAAAAAGGGAUCUUUCAGGUUUCCCAAAUUCCCAAGACUCUGAAAUACAAAUAAUAUAUACCAAAAUGCACACAAUUCAAAAAGCCCUCUUCUUUUUGUUCUGUGGCAAAAUCUAGGUGAAACAUGUCAGGCUGGGUUGGCUGGCGUCCGUGGCUCUCUGUAUCCACUGACGUAACAAAGCUGUCCAGGGAAUGCGGCUAGUUUUUGUUGGGGAAGGGGAAGAAACAGGAAGUGAAGCCUUUUCUCAGAACUUGAGACCAGCUGAGAAAGGAGGCCCCAUGAAGCAAUCUACCUCUUCCCAGAUGACUCACGGUAGUGGGGUCUUUGGGCUGAAGCUGUGCCACAGCCUGGAGGUGGGGAGGAGGGGAGGCAUUUCCAGAGAUCAAACUCACACACGAGAGUGAAUCUUUUCUUGGGAAAGUAGAGGGAAGUCAGCAGAAAAGCUCCUUUCUGCUUUGUCUGAUGGUAUGUUUAACAUAUACAGACCUCGGGUAAUACAGACCUCUUUACAACUGGAUUCUUUUAUUACAUGACUUCAGGAAAUGGGAAGAAGUGAGAUCUGAUCAUGUCACCUCUUGGGGAAGCAGAAUCUCCCUCUCCCCUUUCCCCAGUGGAGCUGUUCACUGUCCCCCAGAAAAGGAAGUGGAGGACAGGAGACAGAGGAAGGCCUGCUGAGUACCAGAAUCUCCUGGCUUCUUAGGAUGCGCAGGUUCAGAACAAGCUGACGGACCCACAGAGCUGGGAGCAGUACCACAGGGUCUCCAGGAAAUGCAGAGGAGGAAGGCUUUCCUACUCAGAGCAAACCCAAGCCUUUGCUCUGCUCCCACCUCGGCACAUCUUGCUAGCAGACUCUUCCUGAGGAAGGCCAGGGACGCACCAGGGUAAGGGUCUCACUUCCAGAGCUACCGUCCAUGAGAGGAACUCAGAGGGAACAGUCCUGUUCUUGCCAGUCUGCCUGCACUUCUGAUCUCCCAGCCCAGGAGAGAAGGCUCCUGUGCCUCUUGAAUGUUGUGGAGCUAUGUGUGAGUGCACGGACAAGACUAGAUGAGUAACCUGGCUACUGUAAUUUUCAGCAAGUGCCUGAAGUCUUGAUCUUGGAAUCCCCCAAUACCCAAUCCCACCCCCACCCUCCCUACCACCCCACCCCCCACCCCCCAGGGCCCAACAUUGGCUGUUUGUUAUUGUUCACGGGCUAGAUACCAGAAGAGAUUGGCUCUUCCACUAGGGCCAUGGUUUCCUUUUUGAUUAACCCUUGACUAGCUGAUUUACGCACGACAGACCCAAGAGGCCCAGAACCAGUGCUGUUACAUGGAAUGAGGGCCAGAAUGGAUACAGCUGGGCUGCAGGUUCAGAAGGUACUGGGCCCCCUGGAGGUAGAACACUGCUCAGGACACCACCUGGGACUCUCAAGAACCAGCCACACGAAACUAUUCCAAGCAGGAUGGUGAAAUGCUUUUCUAGCAACAAGCAACUGAAAAUACUGGCAGAAGUAUCCCUUUUAUUUUGACCAUUUCUAAAGAUGACAAAUAUUUCAAGAAUCAAACUCCUUUUCAAGCAUCCAGAUUUGCUGCAGACAACUAAUGAGACUGUCUCUCACUUCAGACAAAACCAAAAUGUCGAGGCACAUUCAACUAUGGAGAUAUUUUACAUACACUGGGAGGGAGAAUGUACAGAUGGAGAAUGGUACCGCACACUCAUCAAAUGGUGAAUGUUUGUUCUAUCCUAUAAACCACGCCAGACACAUCAGUUGGGGGCUUGCAUUUAGAUGACAUCUCCAGUUCUCCUUCCCAAGCUUCCACAUCCCAGCUGGGAUCUCCUGGAGGUGGACCAUCUGGACCAGCCCAAAUCAUUCCCACAACGGUGGUAGUAGGGGGCUGUGGCCUAGACUCCAAGAGUUUCAAGUUUUAUGACUGAGUAAUCCCAGGAAGAGCCUAAGAGCAGGACAGAGGGGACCAAGCAGCUUAGCAGCUCUCCUUGGUGACUGGACGUACCCCAUGCAGGGGGAUACAGCUGGCUUCUGGACCCCCUGACUCCAGGAAGGGUAGCAACAACAAAAAGAAGAAAACCACAGUAUUCAAAAAUAUGUCAGUCAGAUUAGACAAGGAGUAAUUUGAAUCAACUGAUCCACAAUCUGACCCACUUUGUAUCGAACACAUUUCAGGGGAGACAAAUGUUGUGUAGGUCCUGCAGCCCAUGUGGACGGUGGCAAAGGAGGGCCAGGGCAAGGAAGGGUGCCAUGGUCUAUGUGGACAGUUUUAGGCACGUGAUUUAUAAUACUCUGUGGAACGUCUAACAGGUUAAUAAAAUAUAUAUUAUAUAAAUAUAUCUCCUACUGUACAUGCCGCCUUCUGGUGCAGCCACCAUAACUCCACGCCCCAAACUCAAACUAAGGUGUGCCAGGUUGCACUGUGAUGCCUGCACCCCUCCCCGUUAUACUCCAAACCUGUCAUCCCA